rnacentral:rRNA from 1 species
UACGUAGGGUGCGAGCGUUGUCCGGAAUUAUUGGGCGUAAAGAGCUCGUAGGCGGUGUGUCGCGUCGGCCGUGAAAACCUGGGGCUUAACUCUGGGCGUGCGGUCGAUACGGGCAUCACUGGAGUUCGGCAGGGGAGACUGGAAUUCCUGGUGUAGCGGUGAAAUGCGCAGAUAUCAGGAGGAACACCGGUGGCGAAGGCGGGUCUCUGGGCCGACACUGACACUGAGAGACGAAAGCUAGGGGAGCAAAUGGG